rnacentral:rRNA from 1 species
UGCCAGCCGCCGCGGUAAUACGUAGGGUGCAAACGUUGUUCGGAAUCACUGGGCAUAAAGAGCGCGUAGGCGGUCCAAUAAGUCAAGCGUGAAAGCCCUCGGCUUAACCGAGGAACUGCACUUGAUACUGUUGGGCUUGAGUGCAGGAGGGGAGAGCGGAAUUCCUGGUGGAGCGGUGAAAUGCGUAGAUAUCAGGAGGAACGCCAGUGGCGAAAGCGGCUCUCUGGUCUGCAACUGACGCUGAGGCGCGAAAGCUAGGGGAGCAAACGGGAUUAGAUA